AGCAAUAACUCUGAACGUAAAUAGGAUCAGUUUUAGUUUCAUGUUUAUGUGAUCUGUACUUGUUGUCCAGUAGAUGGGGGUGAAAAUUAACUUUCAGUUUCGUUUCUGUCAUGUGCGCUAUCGCAAGCUUAUCAGUUGCCACAGCAGUAGUGAUAUGUUCACAUCUUGUUUCCAUGUAAUUUCAAACGCAGGACAUUCUCAUACUUAUUCUGUGUACAUGGGAUGGGAACAUUCAGUAAUAAUCUGUAAUGUUCUAGUGCAAAGACAGACGCCUUUGGUGCGAGAGACCCGGGUUCGAAUCCACUGUGAGACACCAAUGUGUCCCUGAGCAAGACACUUAACCCCUAGUUGCUUAAGAGGCGUGCGUCCUCUGAGAUAUAUAACAAUUGAUUUACACAAGCUUCAGUCUGGAUCCAGAACACCUGAGAAGAGAUGAGGCCAACCCCUCAGAGGACCUCAGAUGAUGCCAAACCUGAAACAACAUAUAGAACUACCCAAUUUUGCUAUAAGUUUGAUUACAUCAUAUAAUAAUUGUUGUUAAUAAUAGUGUUAAUAGUGUUCGUCUUCUGUUUGAUUACGCCUUUAUUUUUUCCCCCAGACAUUUCUGCUAUAUGUACAUUAACUGACAGUUACUACUGAUAAGCUACUUGUCACAGUGUCAUCUGUGCUAUGUUUACUGUUGUGUGCGCCAUGAGUGGACGUGUCUGAAUAGCGUAACGAACUAUCAGUUCCAGCUGUGGCUCAUUUGUGUCCCUAUAUCAUGUGUGCUUCCCCAUCUUGUAUUGUCAGAUCCUUGGCAUUUGUCCUCUCACUCCUGGUCGUCUUUUCCUCACACAACUACUAAAUAUUGUAGAAAAUUAGUUUCCUGAAAAGUUGCUUUGCAACAAUUUGUAUUUUGAAAAGCACUAUAUAAAUAAACUUGUAUUUAAUCUAAUUAAUGGCAUUUUGUAGAUAUAACGCUGAAGGAGAUAUUCAUGUAGGUCAGGUCUGAUCAGACUGUUGAUGAAUCAAAUCAAAAGGUCUAAAUAUGGUCAAGAAACCUACUUGUUGAUUUAUUAGAGAUUUGGUCGUGUUGUGAAUUCAGAAACAAAUGUUUGUUUGUCAUUGCAGCCUAGACAAUGAACUUGCAAUCUUCUACAACUGUCUUCAUCUGCUUCAUCGUGCAAUGUAAAAAUGAGUUCAAUAAGUCAGAAAUAUGAACAACUCAUUCAAAAGAGCAUGGUGCUCGUAGUCUCUAGGACUGUAUUCCAUCUUUUUGGUUUAAUAAGCAUGUAUGUAGCUUGUAUCUUUCGUCAGU